AUUGUUCCAUUGAGUCUCUGUUUAUUUUUCCCACCCUUUCUUCCUCUCUCUAUUCUUCCUUUUGAGUAGUUUUUAUUGUGUCACUGAUAUUUUUUCUCCAGUUUCUAAUUUGCUAAUAAUUCCAUCCAGUGAUUUUUUUCAUGUUGUAUUUUUCAUACCUAGAAGUUCCAUUUAUUUAUUUAUUUAUUUAUUUUGAAACGAGUCUCAUUCACAGCAAUGACAAAUGAUUAACUGGAUGCAAUAACAUGGGUGAACCUCUCAUCUCCAGAUUACUUAUAAUAUCUAAUGCAAGGUAAAUGUUAUAUAAAUAAUUGUUAUAUUGUAUUGUUUAGGUAAUAACACACACACUCUAACACUCGCUCUGUUUUCCCCACAAUCCGCAGCAUGCAGCCUGCUGUGUCCACCUCACAUACGCACUGGACCUUGUCCUCACU
rnacentral:lncRNA from 10 species